AAAGCUCGUAGUUGAAUUUCGGGGUUAGUAGGUUGGUCAUGCCUCUGGUAUGUACUGGUCUCACUGAUUCCUCCUUCCUGAUGAACCGUAAUGCCAUUAAUUUGGUGUUGCGGGGAAUUUGGACUGUUACUUUGAAAAAAUUAGAGUGUUUAAAGCAAGCUAACGCUUGAAUACAUUAGCAUGGAAUAAUGAAAUAGGACGUUCGAUCCUAUUUUGUUGGUUUCUAGGAUUGACGUAAUGAUUAAUAGGGAUAGUUGGGGGCAUUAGUAUUCAAUUGUCAGAGGUGAAAUUCUUGGAUUUAUUGAAGACUAACUACUGCGAAAGCAUUUGCCAAGGAUGUUUUCAUUAAUCAAGAACGAAAGUUAGGGGAUCGAAGACGAUCAGAUACCGUCGUAGUCUUAACCAUAAACUAUGCCGACUAGGGAUCGGAUGAUGUUAAUUUUUUAAUGACUCAUUCGGCA
rnacentral:rRNA from 1 species